GGGAGAGUUCUAAUGUUGGUAAUUAGAGUUAAACUGUAAAUUUAAUGUCAUAGACUGCGACUGUUCGAUUCAGUCCUCUCUCA